rnacentral:rRNA from 1 species
AGAGAUCAAGUUAUACAUAUCAAGGUAAAAAGGCAGUUAAAUAAUAAUAUGCAUUAACUUAUUAAUUUUUUGUUUAAAGGUAAAAUUUACAUACAAAUAAAUAAUCCAAUGUAAGUUAUAUUACAUUGACUCUGCGAUAGCCUUGAGGGAAACUGGGAUUAGAUACCCCAUUAUUCUUGGCUGUAAAUCGAUAAAAUCUACCGGAGUACUAUGAAUCGUUCAAAAAGUUUAAAACUCAAAGGGCUUGGCGGUGUUUUAGACCUUUCAGGGGAACCUGUCUCAUAAUCGACAAUCCACGCUACACCUAACCUUCUUUUGCAAAACAGUUUGUAUACCGUCGUCGUCAGGUAACUUUUAAAAAACUAGAAGUUGGCAACAAAAUUAUAAUAAAUUUAAACGUCAGAUCAAGGUGCAGCCUAUAUGAAGGUGAGGAUGGGUUACAAUUAAUACUUAUAAUUACGAACAAAGUAAUGAAAUAUAUACUUUAAUGAAGGAGGACUUGGAAGUAAAAAUAUUUAUACAGAUAGUUUGAAUAAGGCUCUGAAACAUGC